CGCACAAUCAUGAAAGACAGGAAAACAUCUAUGCCUCGGUUCAAUCCUAUCCAGUACUGUGCAUCUAAAUUCUGCCAAAUGUUCAUUUAUUCAAUAACGGACUUUCUAUUGCAACCUUGUCGAGUGGGACGUCAAAUUUUAACUCAUAGAUUUGAUAACGUUUCCUAAAAAAAUUUGUUGCAAUCUUUAAUGUAAGUAAUAGGUUUUCAGAAAUGAAAUGGAAAUAAACAUACUCAUACACAGACACAUACACACAUGCACAGAUCAUUCUUCCUCAAAAUAACACUUGAGACUUCAUUCAAUAUCUCAUUCAGAAAACAAGAAACAAAUAUGCAACACAGCCAAGAUUCAAAAUGUAAUUUUCAGGCCUACUAUUAUUAAUGACAUAGUCACCCUUCUUGUUAUUCCUUCGUUACUCUCCAAUCAGUAUCCUUUCAACAUGGGAUGCAA
rnacentral:lncRNA from 1 species